rnacentral:lncRNA from 1 species
UACUUUACAUAAUUGCAAUCUUUCCACAUAAGCUAUUUGCUUUGUGUUGAGUGUCGUCAAGUCUUGUUGACCCUUGUUAAGAGACUUUUCAUGCUCCUAAGAUCAAGAUCACGUACACACCACAUAUAUAUAUGCUGCUUCUACACUGGAAGUACGCAACCACAUGUAUUUCGCAUCCACUAAAUAGGUUGCUCCAUACUCUAAAUGUUAGAACAUCUCUCUAAGCAUUAUUUGGUAAAUGAGACAUCAAAAGGCUAGGCAAAAUGAAAUAAAAAGAUGGACAUGUGCAAGUCCACAGAAAAAGAAAAUUGAGCACAUGAAAGCUCAUAUAAAAAAAAGAAGAAAAAAAUGCUAGCCAUGUCUCAAUACAUAGAGAGUCUAUCAAAUAAAGGAGCAACCUAGUCCACCAUAUAUCACACUUGCACAUCUUGAUCUGGGAGUAUGACACUUCUCUUCAAGGAUCCGAGCUUUGACUUCGCAAUAUAUGCAAAGUAAGUAUGCUAUCUCCUUUCAUCCCUACCUUGAACUCCACAUAAGCCUUUUAGAAAUAGGAUAAAAUAGAGAAGGCAACUCUUACCAUAUGCCUUGGUGAGGAAUCAUACACCAUUUGAGUGACAUGAGAGAACCAUAAGAGGAACAUUUAAGCUUUCUUUUGAAAAUAUCACAAAACCUCUGAUAUGAAACUUGCUAAGAAUGAGAAAGUUAGUGCUCAAGUCAAACUGUUCUGUCUCUCAACCACCUAAGACAAAGGAAAAGCCAUAAGCCCCAUAAGGGACUAAGGUAAUAGGGGUAAGUUUACAUAGCUAAAUUUUUCAUGCAAAGAGAAGAACUUUGUUGUACACAUGGUACUCUUGAAAUGUGAACAUAGUAACAAUACCUGAUCCACCGAGGCUAAGUUUGAUUGUUUGCUCGGGACGAGCAAAGGUUAAGCUUGGGGGAUCUUGUUGACGGUGGAUAUACCAUAGAAAUCCACAUACAAAACACCGUCAACAUGCCUCGGUUGCAAGGGGAAAUGACAUGACAUGAACAUAUUUUAUCCAUAACUAGUUCCACUUGUACUCUUAGCUUGUUUAUGCAGGAACAACAAAUUCAAGACAUUAUUUUGACAAAGCCAACAUCAGAAUCCUCAAGAGGAGAUCGAGGGGACAACAGGUGACACCCUGGGCCCACAGGGAGGGGGUCGCCCGACCCCUCUUUGGUGGGACCCAGGUGUGCCACCUAGUCCACCGACAUAAGGGACUCCUGUGGACACUGCUGGUGGGUCCAGAGGCCCAGAAGUGGGGUCGCCCGACCCCACAUCAAAGGCGGUUCCAGGGUCGGUGGCCUCCCACCGACCUUCCCCACAUGUCCCACAUGUUGAUUUGCCCCUGCCGUUGAUCAAAUGGCGGUUGUGAGGUCGGUUUGAUCCAAGGGUGGAGAGAAGAUGUCACGCGGAUCAAUGACGUGGCGAUGGAGUAACCCCUACUCCAUCUCCCUCUAUAAAAGGCAGCCUCCACCCUUCAUUUCAAGUGUGCAAUUCCAAGGCCAAGUGCAUUACAAGUUCCAAGCAUACAAGUAGAGUAGUAGUUAGUCUAGAGUGGGAGUU